AACCAUUCUCACCUGCGGCUAGACCUGCGGAAGGAUCAUUACCGAGUUUACAACUCCCAAACCCCUGUGAACAUACCUAUACGUUGCCUCGGCGGAUCAGCCCGCGCCCUGUAAAAAGGGACGGCCCGCCCGAGGACCCUAAACUCUGUUUUUAGUGGAACUUCUGAGUAAAACAAACAAAUAAAUCAAAACUUUUAACAACGGAUCU
rnacentral:misc_RNA from 1 species